UACGUAGGGCGCAAGCGUUAUCCGGAAUUAUUGGGCGUAAAGAGCUCGUAGGCGGCUUGUUGCGUCGGCUGUGAAAUCCCGGGGCUUAACUCCGGGCGUGCAGCCGAUACGGGCAGGCUAGAGUCCGGUAGGGGAGACUGGAAUUCCUGGUGUAGCGGUGAAAUGCGCAGAUAUCAGGAGGAACACCGGUGGCGAAGGCGGGUCUCUGGGCCGGUACUGACGCUGAGGCGCGAAAGCGUGGGGAGCAAACAGG
rnacentral:rRNA from 1 species